rnacentral:lncRNA from 1 species
CAAAUGAUUAAUAUUAAACCAAACAUUGUUCAUUUAACAGAUAACUGAAAAACGUAUUAUUGGUUAAAGGCUCUGUUUGGGAGCAGUGUUUUAGAACAGAACAUGUAAUAAAAUGGGAGGAAACCCAAGUGGCAUCAUAGAGCAUUAGGCUGAGGCUGAGGCUGGUAACAACUGCAGUCAGUCAGCUAGGCAAGGCUGUUAGAAUUUACAAAGAGAUGAGAACAGAAGGGAACGAUGCACAAAGUUUGCCCAGUAGUUUUGAAUGUGGAAGGGGUAAUCUAAGACCCGAAACAUUUCAUGGAAUGUGCCAGUUUCAGAUGAGGGAAAAUUUAAACCUUCAUUACCCAAGACUAUAGAUAAGGAAUCACAAGCAAAUAAACACUGAGGCUACAGUCCAGCCAGAAAGAAAAGGUGAAGAGUCACUCUUUUUACUUCUGAAAUGCAAACAAGUUCAGUUAUUCUACUCUUGGAGUAUGUUUCUAAUGAUCACUUCUGGUUGGACUCUAGAAUGAAUCUCUGGA